GACGAACGCUGGCUGCGUGCUUAACACAUGCAAGUCGAACGCUGAAGCCCCAGCUUGCUGGGGUGGAUGAGUGGCGAACGGGUGAGUAACACGUGAGUAACCUGCCCCUGACUUCGGGAUAAGCCCGGGAAACUGGGUCUAAUACCGGAUACGACUAUCGGACGCAUGUCUGGUGGUGGAAAGUUUUUUCGGUUGGGGAUGGGCUCGCGGCCUAUCAGUUUGUUGGUGAGGUAAUGGCUCACCAAGACGACGACGGGUAGCCGGCCUGAGAGGGCGACCGGCCACACUGGGACUGAGACACGGCCCAGACUCCUACGGGAGGCAGCAGUGGGGAAUAUUGCACAAUGGGGGAAACCCUGAUGCAGCGACGCAGCGUGCGGGAUGACGGCCCUCGGGUUGUAAACCGCUUUCAGCAGGGAAGAAGCCUUCGGGUGACGGUACCUGCAGAAGAAGUACCGGCUAACUACGUG
rnacentral:rRNA from 1 species